UACGUAGGGUGCGAGCGUUGUCCGGAAUUACUGGGCGUAAAGAGCUCGUAGGUGGUUUGUCGCGUUGUCCGUGAAAACUCACAGCUUAACUGUGGGCGUGCGGGCGAUACGGGCAGACUGGAGUACUGCAGGGGAGACUGGAAUUCCUGGUGUAGCGGUGGAUUGCGCAGAUAUCAGGAGGAACACCGGUGGCGAAGGCGGGUCUCUGGGCCAUAACUGACGCUGAGGAGCGAAAGCGUGGGGAGCGAACAGG
rnacentral:rRNA from 1 species